UACGGAGGGGGCAAGCAUUGAUCGGAAUUACUGGGCGUAAAGGGCGCGUAGGCGGCUAGAAAAGUCAGAUGUGAAAUUCCGGGGCUCAACCCCGGAGCUGCAUUUGAAACUUUCAAGCUAGAGGGGACUUAGGGAAAACGGAAUUCCACGUGUAGCGGUGAAAUGCGUAGAUAUGUGGAAGAACAUCGGUGGUGAAGACGGUUUUCUGUGGUUUAACUGACGCUGAGGCGCGAAAGCUAGGGGAGCAAACAGG
rnacentral:rRNA from 1 species